rnacentral:lncRNA from 13 species
GCUGCUGCCCUCCCUCCCGAGCACCCUUGUCAUUUCCCUUCCCUUUAUCGACAGCCUUUAAUGGGAUGAGGCUUUUGCCAGCAGAAAGGAGCCAAUGUGUUCUCAGCGGCUGUCAAAGGCACUUGGGCUGCAUAAAGAGCCUCCCAUGUGGUCUCACAGCUAAAAUAUAUAUACAGACACCAGACAAAACUGUCACCAACGUGCCAGAACCAUCAUUAGCACUUGAUCUUCCCAGCACAGAGGACAUGCCUCAGCUAGUUAUUUCUGUCCCAAAUCCUUUUUUUGUUGUUGCUCCCAUUUUAUUUUGGGAACUGGGCAGGGGAAGGGGACUUUGUUUCCCCUACACCUCGUGGAAGAGACAGCACAGGCCUGGUGGGCACAUUAUGUUCUUAGGAAGGAGCUGCAGCAUCUCUGUGAGAGGUUUUAGAAGGCAUCAGACACCCUCCCAAGCUGCCUGUCCCCCUGCCACCCUUGGGAUGAGCUUUGGCCACAGCCUUGGUCUUCCUCCACUGAUGCUCCUCUCUGCCCAAGCAAAGGUCCUGCCGAGCAUCUUCAGACACAGAAAUAGAAAAAGGGACCCCAGUUCCAACAGGAAAUUCUCUUUAAGAGCCAGAAGAGCCCCUGAUAGGCCAAGCAUCCUCUGGCUGCCCAGCUCUGGGAGCACGAUCAGAUAAAUAAAGUUAUUUUUGGUUUGGCUUGAUA